UCCUUGCUUAAAUUAAAUGUUUUCAGUUACGUACGAUCGACCUGAAGGCUCAGGCACGAACAAGGGAAAAGAAAAGCUGUUCGAAUGAGAAUUAGUAUGAGUUAAUGGUUAUAGUUAGUAAGACAAUGGAAUCUAUUGUCAGGUAUUGUAAGGAAUGUAUUUGAAGGUCACGUACCUGGGGAAGUAAACUUUGAUGUAUGUAAAUUAAGUUCGAAUUAUAUUAUUAUUUAGUAUUAUUCAGCUUAAAGAAAUGGUAUCGUGGAGAACCGAGUUUGGGUUUCAAGUAUCCGGAUUUGGGGUCGUCACAUCGACUAUGCAUGCAAGUUUCCCUAACUCAAACUUGAGUUGUAUGUUCAAAGCAUGUUAGUGAAUAAUUGUUGUUGAUUAUUCACGUCUAUACUGAUUAUUGAUUCGCACUUAGUGCAUGUUGCAUAUGUUUAUUAGGUAUGAAAGGCUGAUUAUCUUCAUUAUCGUAAGGUUCAGUUAAGUUGUUCAUGUUCAUUGUUGACCUUCAAACAUUAUCGAUUCAGU
rnacentral:lncRNA from 1 species